rnacentral:rRNA from 1 species
UCUUCUUCCGGUAGGUUGACCUGCGGAAGGAUCAUUUCUGAAGGCUACACGCCGACACUGUGAAGCGCCGCGAGGCACUGCUUGGACCGCUGCGGCGGUCCGCCAUAAACUUAUACCAACUUAUCUGAAAACUUGAAAAUUAAAACCUUCAACAACGGAUCUCUUGGUUCUCACAUCGAUGAAGAACGCAGCAAAGCGCGAUAGGUAAUGCGAAUUGCAGACGUGAGUCAUUGAAUCUUUGAACGCACAUUGCGCUACCAGGUUCUCCUGGUAGCAUGCUUGUUGGAGCGCCGAACUUUCUCUCCGCCUCUCACGAGACGCGAGGUUUUGCCCCUUCCUGGAGCCAAAUAGAUCGAACAGCACACGUUAACAACUCUGUGCCGUACACACAUUUAUGGCCCCCAAUCAAGCAAGAUUACCCGCUGAACUUAAGCAUAUCAAUAAGCGGAGGAAGAGG